GAUUGGUCUGACCCCUCCGAGCAAGCAGAGCUGCCUGUAGAGGGGCCUUAGCAGGAAAGCACUCAACACAUUUUCGUGGUAGACCUAGUGGAGCCUGACGUGUAUGAAUAACUCAUAACUGGAGCCUGGCUAGUGAGGAGCUCAGAGCUGGCUUUGAAAACACCCUAGGGGUUCUCUCCGAGUGGCACGCUGAAAUGUGGCCACACCGGUUCAGGCUAUUUUAAGCUUCAGAAGCGAAGGGAGGCGAGAUGGGGUGAGCCAGAGGGCUCUGAGGGCGAGAUGAGUUCCAGACCAGCUUUCUCUGUGCCUCCAAGGUCACCUUGGGCCCUUACCCUGUCACCUGUGACCUUGCUUUCCUCUUCCCUCUCCUGUCUGGAAGGAUGGGAAGGAAGGACCCUUCUGACCUUAGGGGGAGCAAGCUGAGAAGGAGCGGGAGCAGCGGGUGGGAGCGCCUGGUGCAGUGAGCCUCAGUCAGACAGUGAGAUGGGCAAAGGUCUUGUCUGCCAGAUCCUGAGUGCUUCCCCUUACAUUUGUUUGUUUACGUGAUUUUAUUUAAUCCUCACAACAACCCUUUGAGGUCCCUACAAUCAUUAUCUCCAUUUGUCACAGAAGAAACCAAGGCUCAGGGAAAGUAAGUACCUUGUCCAAGGGCCCAAGGAGACACAGCGGAGCUGGGAUUUGAAACCAGAUGGGAAAACUGAAGCUUGAAGAACUUAACAAAUCUGCCCGAGGACAUGCAAGGACAUGUAGUCAUCGCCAGCAGUGCCCAGACGGAACCCAGACCCUCUCCCUCCACGGCCCGGAUUCCUGCCUUUAUACUGAGCGCAGAUUUUAGUUCUCUGAAACCAUACCACAGGCUCUCGUGGGACACCUACUCCAAUCCCUCCUCAUUUUACACUGAGAAAACUGAGGCUCUCAAAGCUUGGGUGACUUGCUCAAGGUCACAUAGCUAAUGGCUGCAUGGGCCGGAAUCCAGAUUCUGGACUCUUCAGCUGUGUGUAAGCAAACUCUUAUUUCCUGACUCACAUCAUAAUCUCAGGGAUGUUUUAUCUUCCAUUCUAGCUAAUCUUCACUGGGCAGGGACUUCUACCACUUUGGCUUUAGGUUUCUCUAUCAGUUCACCUUACCCUCUGUCGUAGUUAAUGAGCUGUAACUGCACAAAGAGGAGACUGAGUCAGGGUUUCUGUAAUUGCGAGGGACACUUUGAUAAGGAGACCGCUUUUCAAAACACAAACCCUCCUGCAAUUCGGUGUUGACACCCACAAUCUUUUGCCACUGUGGUCCUGAGCACAGCUACACUAAAACUCGACAAAAUUCCUCUAGGUACCUCUUUGUAUUUUCCUUACAAACACUUGUUGGAAGGGGAGAGGGCGCCUGGGAGGGUAAGAAGUGGGAGAGACAAAAAGCCUAGAAUCUAGGAACCAAAAGGCAUUUGAUGUGAUUUGGCUUUUCUUGAGUAUUUUAGAUGAUCUAGGUUUUUAAAAAAAUUUUAAUUUUUAAUUGUGGUAAAGUAGAUGAUACAGUUCUAAAUAAUAUAAGUAUGGCAGAAAGCCACAUUUUAAUUCCUUGACUGACUCCUCCUUUUAUGAAAUUAACAAAUAUU
rnacentral:lncRNA from 1 species